UACGAAGGGGGCUAGCGUUGCUCGGAAUCACUGGGCGUAAAGGGUGCGUAGGCGGGUCUUUAAGUCAGGGGUGAAAUCCUGGAGCUCAACUCCAGAACUGCCUUUGAUACUGGCGAUCUCGAGUCCGGGAGAGGUGAGUGGAACUGCGAGUGUAGAGGUGAAAUUCGUAGAUAUUCGCAAGAACACCGGUGGCGAAGGCGGGUCUCUGGACCGAUACUGACGCUGAGGAGCGAAAGCGUGGGGAG
rnacentral:rRNA from 1 species